CAUUUCGCCACUUGGCACAACCACUGCAUUACCUUUCUCAACUGACAUAAAGCCCAACCUUCAACGACGAAGGCUGCGCUGCCCGAGAGAACGGGAUAAAGGACAAAGGCGUCCUCGCCAGGCAACUGGCGGGAUGCC
rnacentral:sRNA from 1 species